UACGUAGGGCGCAAGCGUUGUCCGGAAUUAUUGGGCGUAAAGAGCUCGUAGGCGGCUUGUCACGUCGGUUGUGAAAAGCCCGGGGCUUAACCCCGGGUCUGCAGUCGAUACGGGCAGGCUAGAGUGUGGUAGGGGAGAUCGGAAUUCCUGGUGUAGCGGUGAAAUGCGCAGAUAUCAGGAGGAACACCGGUGGCGAAGGCGGAUCUCUGGGCCAUUACUGACGCUGAGGAGCGAAAGCGUGGGGGAGCGAACAGG
rnacentral:rRNA from 1 species